UGCUCACUUUGGGAGAGCAAUAUACUAAAAUUGGAUGAUACAGGAGAAGAUUAGCAUGGCUCCCGUGCAAGGAUGACAUGCAAAUUUGUGAAGUGUUGCAUAUUUUG
rnacentral:snRNA from 1 species